UGAAUACGAGAUGCUACGGCGUCGAAGCAGUCUAUGUCAUACUUCCAAGAAAAGCUUGCACUGUCAUAAACAAAUAAUGCCUGUACCAUAACCGACACAGGUGGGUAGGUAGAGUAUACUAAGGGGCGCGAGAUAACUCUCUCUAAGGAACUCGGCAAAAUGACUCCGUAACUUCGGGAGAAGGAGUGCCUUAUUUUAUAAGGUUGCAAUAACAAGAUCCAAGCAACUGUUUACCAAAAACACAGGUCUCCGCUAAGUCGUAAGACGAUGUAUGGGGGCUGACGCCUGCCCAGUGCCAGAAGGUUAAAGAAGUUGGUUAGCAUCCGCGAAGCUGAUAACUGAAGCCCUGGUGAACGGCGGCCGUAACGAUAACGGUCCUAAGGUAGCGAAAUUCCUUGUCGGGUAAGUUCCGACCCGCACGAAAGGCGUAAUGAUUUGGAUACUGUCUCAGAGAGGGGCUCGGUGAAAUAGACUUGUCUGUGAAGAUGCGGACUACCUGCACCAGGACAGAAAGACCCUAUGAAGCUCUACUGUAACUUGAAAUUGAAAUUGGACUUUACUUGCGCAGUAUAGGUGGGAGGCGUUGAGAACAUUCUUGCGGGAAUGUUGGAGCCAUCAGUGAGAUACCACUCUUGUAAUGUUAGAUUUCUAACUUUGUAUCAUUAUCUGGUCAAAGGACAGUUUCAGGCGGGCAGUUUGACUGGGGCGGUCGCCUCCCAAACGGUAACGGAGGCGCACAAAGGUUUCCUCUGAACGGGUAGAAAUCGUAUCUAGAGUGUAAAGGCAUAAGGAAGCUUGACUGUGAGACCUACAAGUCGAGCAGGGACGAAAGUCGGUCUUAGUGAUCUGACGGUGCUGAGUGGAAAGGCCGUCACUCAACGGAUAAAAGUUACUCUAAGGAUAACAGGCUGAUCUCCCCCAAGAGUUCACAUCGACGGGGAGGUUUGGCACCUCGAUGUCGGCUCAUCGCAUCCUGGGGCGGUAGUACGUCCCAAGGGUUGGGCUGUUCGCCCAUGAAAGCGGUACGCGAGCUGGGUUCAGAACGUCGUGAGACAGUUCGGUCCAUAUCCGGUGUAGGCGUUAGAAUAUUGAGAGGAGCCUUCUUUAGUACGAGAGGACCGAGAAGGACAUACCUCUGGUGUACCAGUUAUCGUGCCAACGGUAAACGCUGGGUAGCUAUGUAUGGAGUGGAUAACCGCUGAAAGCAUCUAAGUGGGAAGCCCACCUCAAGAUAAG
rnacentral:rRNA from 1 species